CAUCUCACAAAACAGACAUCUCACAAAACAGACGUAGCAGAAAACACAUAAUGGAUACCCAGCAGAUAUGCCAAUACAGAAAACACAUUCAUGGGCAUGCAACUACACACUCUGUGUCCCUGCUAGGAAACACGGGUAGACACAAUAUGAAAGCAGUCUUAAACUAACACCUCCAAAUCUCCAUUCCCAUAUAGCUAUAUCAGACCACAACACAGAGCCUCUCUGAGCUCAUAGAACUACUCCAAC
rnacentral:lncRNA from 1 species